AUUUCAUAAGCUUUGGUCAGCCAAAGCAAAUCAGCUUGCCUUUUUUUUGGUUUUCUACCAACAUUACGUUAAUGUUCUUGAUUAUUCUCCAAAUCUUUUGGUCACAUUGAUAUGGGUGGUUGCAGAGAUUUACCCACACUAUGAGAACCAUUCAAGGAUCAUUAAUUGUUUCUUCCUUUGUCAACAUCAUCCUUGGGUUUAGUUUUGCAUGGGGCAAUUUGACAAGGUUCUUCAGUCCCAUUGUUAUAGUACCAGUGGUUUGUGCGGUGGGUCUUGGUCUGUUCAUGAGGGGUUUCCCACUGCUAAUUUCUUUUUGACAAGACUAUAAUGUUUGGUGCUGUUGAAAGUUAAUAAUAAGAAGCUCAUUUCACCCUGCAUUCUAUUCAGCUUGCUAACUGUGUGGAGAUCGGCCUGC
rnacentral:misc_RNA from 1 species